UACGAAGGGGGGCUAGCGUUGCUCGGAAUUACUGGGCGUAAAGGGAGCGUAGGUGGACUGUUUAGUCAGAGGUGAAAGCCCAGGGCUCAACCUUGGAAUUGCCUUUGAUACUGGCAGUCUUGAGUACGGAAGAGGUAUGUGGAACUCCGAGUGUAGAGGUGAAAUUCGUAGAUAUUCGGAAGAACACCAGUGGCGAAGGCGGCUCACUGGUCCGGUUCUGACGCUGAGGCGCGAAAGCGUGGGGAGCAAACAGGG
rnacentral:rRNA from 1 species